rnacentral:rRNA from 1 species
GACGAACCACACGAACGUUAUUCGGAAUUACUGGGCUUAAAGGGUGCGUAGGCGGCGCGGUAAGUAGGGUGUGAAAUCCCUCGGCUCAACCGAGGAACUGCGCUCUAAACUACCGUGCUUGAGGGAGAUAGAGGUGAGCGGAACUUAGGGUGGAGCAGUGAAAUGCGUUGAUAUCUAAGGAACACCGGUGCGAAAGCGGCUCACUGGAUCUCUUCUGACGCUGAGGCACGGAAAAGCUAAGGGUAG